CCGGCUCCUCCCUCCCCACCAUCCGGGUCGCCUCGCCGGUAUCUCGGUCCCCACCGGUGCAGGUCACCUUGUCGGCACCUACGUCCUCACCAACCCAGGCGAGAUCACUGUUCCCGGCCUCCUCUCUUCCUCUCCAGGGAAGAAGUUGAGAGAAGAUUGGUUAAAAAUCUUGGUGAAGAACAAGGUAGACGUAAUGUGGAUACAGAAAAAUGCUUAGACAAUGUCAAGCAGGUCCAAAUGAUGUUCAAACUGGUGACCUUUUUCUAACCGUUAAGAAGGCAAAGUAUUCGGCAGUCGGCACACUUAUUUAUUCAGUUUUCCGAGCAUGGUUGGUUUGAAACUAAUAUGGUGUUUUUUGGGCAUUGUUGAUGUUGGAGAAAUCGGUGGUACUAUAGUGGACGAUGUUGCAUCCUCAUGCAGGUAAGAGUUUCGUCUAAAUGAACUUUUCAUUGGUACAUGUCAUGUUUCUAAAUAACCUUUUAUGUUUCUUACUAUGUUAGUUUAGAAAGGAUUUAGCACAGAUUAAAAAGGUCAUUGCAAUUGUCCAGAUAUAUAUUACUAGCUCACCUUUCUAAUUUCAGUUUUUGGUUAUUCUCGAUUCCCACUGUCCACUCUCAUACGGAAAGGCAGAUUAUUCUCUCCAAUCAAGCCAUUCAUAUAUUUAUCCCUUGUGGGCACACACAUACUCGUAUGCAGUUGGAGAUGGAUGUAAAUGAUUUUCAUUCACCUGUGAAGAUGCCUGUAUUCUUUGCAACAGUUUUCCGUGAUUGGUCAUUUCCGAAUUAGUGAGAGAGGUUGGGUAGAAGCUCGUCAUGACGUGUUUUUCUUUAAUUUCCUUUCUCCAAUUAAGCUAUCAUCUCGAAAUAUUUGCUUUUUGCAUUGCUACGACGGAAGUGUGUGGCCGCGAGGAGGAGCAAUAUAUGAGAAGGAAACUAUGCUGUCACGUAGUUGUAAAUAUUGGCGCGGCUUCAUUGGUGGCUCAUGGCCCUUUGUAAGUUCAGGCAAUGCUACUACUCGAUGACCAGUUCAAUAUUUAGCUCCUCGCCCUUUGUAAGUUCACGCAUUGCUACUACUCGAUGACCAGUUCAGUAUUUUACUCCAUGACUUGUGUUUACAUGUACAUGGAUUGUGGAUUUGUGGUGCCCAACUAAUGCUCAUGUCUUCCCGAUGGUUUUCUUAUUAAGAACAAAGAACAAGCAAGUACGAGGCACUAGUGAGGCAUAUGAAUUAGUCCCCAACCAAGGUAUUUUACUUAUCCCCAUCUUUAAUUCGUUUGUUUGGACAGUUCUUGCCAUCUGGAAUCCUGUGUCAGCAGCAACUGUUUCAGCUAAGUCUAGCAAGGCUGCAUUGAUUGUCUGCGAUUAUACAAUUCUAGUUCAAUUUUCAGAGGCAAACUCAUAAAUAAGAAGGUAUGAGCUAUAUUUGCUUAUGUAAAUGUUCAUAUAUUUUGAGAUAUAAAUUGAGAAGGUCUUGAUGAGGAGGUUAUGCAAUGAUGAUAUACAUUGAGAAUAAGCGAAGCUAGCAGCGUAAUGUUUCAGAUUUUCUUUUUCAGUAGGGAGGAUGUCAUGUGCUUUUGGGUUCAGACUUGUGUCCUGUUGGAGGCUAAAGCGUGGUGAACUCAAUUUUUCUACCAUGUGCUAUCAUCCCACUGAAACUUUUCCUCCUCAGAGUACUUGUUCUACAUAGUGAUAUCUACUCUACCAUGACAUGGUAUCAGGAUAUGUCAAGAGGCUCUGUUGUGCUAUUUUUCUUUUCCAAAAUGAAAUAUUUGUUUGUGUUUAGUUUGGACCUUUAUGUACAAACUUAGUGUUUCCAAGCCAAUUAGUUACCUCAUUCCUUUGUCAAUGUCAAAUUACAGGGCACUUUUAAUAGUGUGUUACAGGAAAAAAAAAAGCUGCUUCUAGCCCAAUUUAGAUUGCUGUUAUAAUUAUCAUCUAUGCCUGGAUGUCCUAUUUGGAGUGAUUAUGCUGAACCAUGUGGGGCUCAGGAUAAAAUAAUCAUUCAGUAACAAAGGAAUGAUUCAUGGAUGAUAAAGACAAUUGCAGUUUUGCUACUUUUUUCUCUGUUUACCACUAGCUUUAGGUUUUUAGUGUUUUCACGGGUUGCUUGAUACAUACACCACCCUGGGUGCUAUAAUUUUAGUUAUUAGGAUUAUGUAAAGUUUCCUUGUGAAUCUUGUUGUGUAAGGGCCUUACAGUUUCUUGCAUUUUAUGAGAUUUCAUUAUUAUGGAACUUAACAUAGAAUCUGCCGCCAUUAACUAGGACCGCUUCUUCUUCAGUGAAUCCCUUUUAUGCAACUGCAUAUAACCAAUCUUAAUAACUUCAAUAGGUAACUUUCUUAUAUAUCAGAGAGAAGUAAGUUUUCUAAUUGCCUACUUUAAUUGUAAUUCCUGCCGUGUUAUUCUCUGAAAUUUAUAGCAUUUAUAUUUUUUCUGCUUGAGAAGGUUGUAUCGAGAGCUGUACAAAUGUACUGAGAUAUUUGAUGUGUGCUAAAUCAGAAGUGUUGCUAUCCAUGUGCAAGACACUCAUACAUUUUGGUUUCCCUGGUGAUGUGCUUCAUUGACCACUGCUAUGAAAGGCCUAUUUGAUUAGGAUUACAACAGAAAGAUAUGUAUAUGUGCAAGACAAGAUUAGUUCAAAACUCAGUCGAGCUAUCCUUUUGAAUUUAUUUCAUGCAAACAUGUUUUGCCUAGGUAAUGCUUCAAGUCACCGUGUACUAGAGUAGGUAAGAGUUUGGAAGCAUUCUUCAUGGUAUUGCCUUGCAAAAUUGAAUGUUAAGUUUGUGGUGUUCAGUAAACAUUAUGUGCUGCUUUGGCCCAGAACACAACUCCGGACAGUUUACUGUCGAAGCGGAGCCAAGUAUAAUAAAUAAAGAAAAAACAUGCAACCGCAUCUAUUGAUUGUUUGUCAUGGUGCUAAAUAUCAAGGAACAUGUUCAGAAUUGGGGUGCACAGCUCUAGCCAGGAGGCGCCCCAUGGGGCGCCCCAACCACUAGUAGAACAAUCAACACCGCUUAAGGCUGCGUGGAUGUUACAACAACAAAUGGGAGUUACAAGAACCGGCGAAUCACGUCCCAAUCCACGUCUCCUCUCUCUCCUUUCUGUCCCCCCUCCGCGUGGGCUUCGCCGGGGAGUUCUCGCGGGCUCUCCGAGGUGGGCUUGGCCUUCUCUCUAAGACGACCAGCUGCCUGCGAGUAGUUUAGGGCUGGCC